rnacentral:rRNA from 1 species
UACGAGGGGGGCUAGUGUUGUUCGGAAUCACUGGGCGUAAAGGGAGCGUAGGCGGGAGCCUAAGUUGGGUGUUUAAUUCCGGGGCCCAACCCCGGGCAUGCACUCAAAACUGGGUUUCUUGAAUAGGGGAGAGGUCGGUGGAAUUGGAGGUGUAGCGGUGGAAUGCGUAGAGAUCUCCAAGAACACCCGUUGCGAAGGCGGCCGACUGGACCCAUAUUGACGCUGAGGCUCGAAAGCUAGGGGAGCAAACGGG